rnacentral:rRNA from 1 species
CCUACGGGAGGCAGCAGUGAGGAAUAUUGGUCAAUGGGCGGAAGCCUGAACCAGCCAAGUAGCGUGCAGGAUGACGGCCCUACGGGUUGUAAACUGCUUUUAUAAGGGAAUAACGCGCCUUACGUGUACGGCUUUGCAUGUACCGUAUGAAUAAGGACCGGCUAAUUCCGUGCCAGCAGCCGCGGUAAUACGGAAGGUCCGGGCGUUAUCCGGAUUUAUUGGGUUUAAAGGGAGCGUAGGCGGCUUGUUAAGUGAGUUGUGAAAUGUCCGGGCUCAACCCGGGCAUUGCAGCGCGAACUGGCGGCCUUGAGUCCGCGUAAAGUAGGCGGAAUUCGUCGUGUAGCGGUGAAAUGCUUAGAUAUGACGAAGAACCCCGAUUGCGAAGGCAGCUUGCUGCAGCGGAACUGACGCUGAUGCUCGAAAGCGCGGGUAUCGAACAGGAUUAGAUACCCGAGUAGUC